UUAGGCAAACCUGUCGAAAGGCAGGGACGCAAAGUUAAGUGUCUAAAUGGGGAGGAACACCAUAUGAUUGACUGACUGC
rnacentral:ncRNA from 1 species